rnacentral:pre_miRNA from 1 species
GUGUUCCAUGCUGACUGGUGAUCUCUGACCGGGCCCAAAGCGAGCUCGUGUGCAGGUGUUUUCCAGUCAGGAUCGAUCG